UACAGAGGUGGCAAGCGUUGUUCGGAAUUACUGGGCGUAAAGGGCGCGUAGGCGGUUCGUUAAGUCCUGUGUGAAAUCCCCCGGCUCAACUGGGGAACUGCACAGGAAACUAGCGGGCUUGAGUUCGGGAGAGGGAAGCGGAAUUCCGGGUGUAGCGGUGAAAUGCGUAGAUAUCCGGAGGAACAUCUGUGGCGAAGGCGGCCAUCUGGACCAGCACUGACACUGAGGCACGAAAGCGUGGGGAGCAAACAGG
rnacentral:rRNA from 1 species